CUUCGAAGUCGGAGGUGACAAAUGAGAUGCUCUUGCUUACUUAAGUUAUACCGAUGUCAAUAAUCCGUCGAAAUGAUUUAAUCACGGUAGAAUAUUAUAUUUUAUAUGUGGUAAAAGUUUCUCAAUACAAUACUUGAGUAAUUUAAAUAUUCCUUAUUUUCGUCGGAGAUACGAUGGAAACAUAAUGUUUUCUCUUUUCGUCCAGUCGUUAAACAAUGUAGCGCGUAAUCGUUCCGGCAAUUCGGCCAUGUUAGAUUCUUAAAACGGAUUUUGCCCAGUUUGUGUUAAUUAAAUCUGCUUAACAGAAUAGGGAAAUUGAUCGUCCUGAAAAUUUAAGAUUUUCGCUAAUGUAUUUUCAAUUAGCCAAACCGAAAUAUUUAGGCUAUCGAGUUUGUAAUCGCAUUUUUAUACUUUUUUUUCCUGCUUUGAUUAGUCUUUUUAUACAAUGUUUAAUUUUCAGAGAUACCAUCGUCUAUAAAAGGAACGUAUAACCUGUAAUCUCCUUAUUGGAACUUUCAAGGAAUAUAAAAGAUGCCGGUUCGUCUUCCAAUCACAAGACACGAAAGAAAACUAUUCUUAAAGUCUGGCAAUCUACCGUUUACAUUACAUGUUUCGGCCAUCUUCGGGAAUUUUAGUUUAUUUUUAAAACAAAACUCUUUAGUAAUAUCCACUGCUGUAAGUCCCUUCCGUGCCGAAGUUUUGGUGCAUUACAACGGCCUCAGGCGAUUAUUCAUUUAAAUAAAAACAACGUGGUAUUCUCCUACGUUCGAACAAGAUAAAGGUAACGUUGUUUUCAUUUCUAUAAAACCGGUCGCCAAUAUUUUGAUAUUUAUAAAAAGACGUCAAUAAUAAAAUAAAAUUUCAUAAUACAAAUUGGACCGAAAGCAGAUAUUUUGCUUGUAAAACUAUUUUUACUCCAUUUUGACGAUAUUAAAAAUUCUGCGUCUAAAUGGGAUUUCUGGAAUACAAUUGUGUCGAUGAGGGAUGUAACCAAUUUUUAUUUUUUUUUAAUGUGUUUUAGAACAAUUUGAGUAAUAAUAUUGAAAUGAAACAAACAUUUCAUCAGUUUUUAAAUACGGAUUCGUCGUGGUAAAGAUGUGAAGAUUUUCUCUCGUCCCAUUAGCAAAUUAGCAAUAUCUUAAAUUUAUUUUUUUAUUUUAUUAGUUUUUAAUAUAAAAUUUCUUUUUUAAUUUCAAAAUAAAAAAGAAAAAGAAAACGACUCGAAAUUAAUAUAUCUUAAAAUGAAACACGACGCCAUUAAAACAAUCAACGUAAUGGCCGCAGCUUGGAGCAUUUUUCGGAUUCCGAAAACGACAUCACAAAUUUUAAUACGAAUUUUUCUGGAAAACAAAAGCCCGAAUCAAUAAAAUUUAUUAAAUAUUUUCGACUUUUUUCUCU